rnacentral:rRNA from 1 species
AUUGAACGCUGGCGGCAGGCCUAACACAUGCAAGUCGAGCGGAUGAAGGGAGCUUGCUCCUGGAUUCAGCGGCGGACGGGUGAGUAAUGCCUAGGAAUCUGCCUGGUAGUGGGGGAUAACGUCCGGAAACGGGCGCUAAUACCGCAUACGUCCUGAGGGAGAAAGUGGGGGAUCUUCGGACCUCACGCUAUCAGAUGAGCCUAGGUCGGAUUAGCUAGUUGGUGGGGUAAAGGCCUACCAAGGCGACGAUCCGUAACUGGUCUGAGAGGAUGAUCAGUCACACUGGAACUGAGACACGGUCCAGACUCCUACGGGAGGCAGCAGUGGGGAAUAUUGGACAAUGGUCGAAAGCCUGAUCCAGCCAUGCCGCGUGUGUGAAGAAGGUCUUCGGAUUGUAAAGCACGUUAAGUUGGGAGGAAGGGCAGUAAGUUAAUACCUUGCUGUUUUGACGUUACCAACAGAAUAAGCACCGGCUAACUUCGUG